GGUCUGGUGGUCUAGUGGUAUGAUUCGCGCUUAGGGAUUACUCUGAGUUAAUUGCGCGAGGUCCGUAAGUAUAUACUCAUCUAAAUCAAACCAACCAAACAAUAAAUUCUAACAACAUCACAGCGGGUUCAAUCCCCGGCCAGACCC